rnacentral:rRNA from 1 species
GCCCUGGCAGUCAGAGGCGAUGAAGGACGUGCUAAUCUGCGAUAAGCGCCGGUAAGGUGAUAUGAACCGUUAUAACCGGCGAUUUCCGAAUGGGGAAACCCAGUGUGACUCGUCACACUAUCAUUAACUGAAUCCAUAGGUUAAUGAGGCGAACCGGGGGAACUGAAACAUCUAAGUACCCCGAGGAAAAGAAAUCAACCGAGAUUCCCCCAGUAGCGGCGAGCGAACGGGGAGGAGCCCAGAGCCUGAAUCAGCAUGUGUGUUAGUGGAAGCGUCUGGAAAGGCGCGCGAUACAGGGUGACAGCCCCGUACACAAAAGCGCAUGUGCUGUGAGCUCGAUGAGUAGGGCGGGACACGUGGUAUCCUGUCUGAAUAUGGGGGGACCAUCCUCCAAGGCUAAAUACUCCUGACUGACCGAUAGUGAACCAGUACCGUGAGGGAAAGGCGAAAAGAACCCCGGCGAGGGGAGUGAAAAAGAACCUGAAACCGU